rnacentral:rRNA from 1 species
AGUGAACGCUGGCGGUAGGCCUAACACAUGCAAGUCGAACGGCAGCACAGUAAGAGCUUGCUCUUACGGGUGGCGAGUGGCGGACGGGUGAGGAAUACAUCGGAAUCUACUUUUUCGUGGGGGAUAACGUAGGGAAACUUACGCUAAUACCGCAUACGACCUACGGGUGAAAGCAGGGGAUCUUCGGACCUUGCGCGAUUGAAUGAGCCGAUGUCGGAUUAGCUAGUUGGCGGGGUAAAGGCCCACCAAGGCGACGAUCCGUAGCUGGUCUGAGAGGAUGAUCAGCCACACUGGAACUGAGACACGGUCCAGACUCCUACGGGAGGCAGCAGUGGGGAAUAUUGGACAAUGGGCGCAAGCCUGAUCCAGCCACACCGCGCGGGUGAAGAAGGCCUUCGGGUUGUAAAGCCCUUUUGUUGGGAAAGAAAAGCAGCAGGUUAAUACCCCGCUGUUCUGACGGUACCCAAAGAAUAAGCACCGGCUAACUUCGUG